CUUCCUUCGGGAAGUACUCGAGCGGCGAACGGGUGAGUAACACGUGGAUAAUCAACCUCUUGCUCUGGAAUACCCCGGGGAAACUCGGAUCAAUGCCAGAUAAAGUGCGGUGCUGUUGGGCGCCGUACCAAAGAUAGCUUCGGCCUUCGGCGAGAGACGAGUCCGCGGCCCAUUAGCUAGUUGGCGGGGUAAUGGCCCACCAAGGCUACGAUGGGUAGCUGGUCUGAGAGGAUGAUCAGCCACACUGGGACUGAGACACGGCCCAGACUCCUACGGGAGGCAGCAGUGGGGAAUCUUGCGCAAUGGGCGAAAGCCUGACGCAGCAACGCCGCGUGCGGGAGGAAGGCCUUCGGGUUGUAAACCGCUUUCAGGGGAGACGAAGCUUCCUGGGUUAAUAGCCCUGCGGAGUGACGGUAUCUUCAGAAGAAGUCCCGGCUAACUACGUGCCAGCAGCCGCG
rnacentral:rRNA from 1 species